rnacentral:lncRNA from 1 species
AUGUGGUAGCCAUGGUGUGCCAUGCCUAGAGCAUCAAAGAACUGCCGACGCGUGAACCUGCAGCUCCCACAGUACUUGGAAAAGGGGUCGAAAUCGAAAGCGUCGUAAGCGGCUUGUGCCAUCUCGCCGUAGCGAAUCAGCUCGGAGCGUAAGAGAGGGUCCAUUGGAUCCAACAUCCCAACCCAAUCAUCUUGACCCUGGAUUUCUCUCCAUACAUCGGCUAAACGUCUUUCUUCUUGUUUAACAGGCUCGAUUUCCUUUUCGAAGUCAUGGAUGAUAGAGGACAAUGGCUCACUUGUUUUGGACAAAGCUCGAGGAAUCCUAGGUGAUCUUGUCGAAAACUCCAUGCUUUUGUUACGUCCAAUGCAAAAUUUCUGACCCGACAACGACGCAA